rnacentral:rRNA from 1 species
GCGCGCGCAGGCGGUCCUUUAAGUCUGAUGUGAAAGCCCACGGCUCAACCGUGGAGGGUCAUUGGAAACUGGGGGACUUGAGUGCAGAAGAGAAGAGUGGAAUUCCACGUGUAGCGGUGAAAUGCGUAGAGAUGUGGAGGAACACCAGUGGCGAAGGCGACUCUUUGGUCUGUAACUGACGCUGAGGCGCGAAAGCGUGGGGAGCAAACAGGAUUAGAUACCCUGGUAGUCCACGCCGUAAACGAUGAGUGCUAAGUGUUAGAGGGUUUCCGCCCUUUAGUGCUGCAGCAAACGCAUUAAGCACUCCGCCUGGGGAGUACGGCCGCAAGGCUGAAACUCAAAGGAAUUGACGGGGGCCCGCA